rnacentral:rRNA from 1 species
GUGGGGAAUAUUGGGCAAUGGGCGCAAGCCUGACCCAGCAACGCCGCGUGAAGGAAGAAGGCUUUCGGGUUGUAAACUUCUUUUACCAGGGACGAAACAAAUGACGGUACCUGGUGAAUAAGCCACGGCUAACUACGUGCCAGCAGCCGCGGUAAUACGUAGGUGGCGAGCGUUAUCCGGAUUUAUUGGGUGUAAAGGGCGUGUAGGCGGGACAGCAAGUCAGAUGUGAAAACCAGAGGCUCAACCUCUGGCCUGCAUUUGAAACUGUUGUUCUUGAGUGUCGGAGAGGUAAUCGGAAUUCCGUGUGUAGCGGUGAAAUGCGUAGAUAUACGGAGGAACACCAGUGGCGAAGGCGGAUUACUGGACGAUAACUGACGCUGAGGCGCGAAAGCGUGGGGAGCAAACAGGAUUAGAUACCCGAGUAGUCC